GGCCGCGGUAUUUUGACCGUGCAAAGGUAGCGUAAUCACCUGUCUUUUAAAUAAAGACCUGUAUGAAUGGCAAGACGAGGGUUUUACUGUCUCCUCCCCCCAGUCAAUGAAAUUGAUCUACCCGUGCAGAAGCGGGUAUAAAAACAUAAGACGAGAAGACCCUAUGGAGCUUUAGGCAUAUAUCAAAUAUGUAAAAAACCAAAUUUUUCCAAAUAGGCCUAAAAAAUGAGAAAAACAAGUAUUAAUGAUUAAGUGCCUUCGGUUGGGGCGACCACGGGGAAAAAUAAAACCCCCACAUGGAAUGGGAAAAAUAACCCUAAGCCAAGAAAAACACUUCUAAGCAACAAAAUUUUUGACCAAUAAACGACCCAGGGACACCAUCCCUGAGCAAUGAACCAAGUUACCCUAGGGAUAACAGCGCAAUCCUUUCCCAGAGCCCAUAUCAACGAAAGGGUUUACGACCUCGAUGUUGGAUCAGGGCAUCCUAACGGUGCAGCCGCUGUAAGGG
rnacentral:rRNA from 1 species